GGUUANUGCUAUCGGAGUUCGAUUAAGCCAUGCGAGUCUAAAGGUUUCUUCGGAAACNNGGCGGANUGCUCAGUAACACGUGGAUAACCUACCCUUGGGACUGGAAUAACCCCGGGAAACUGGGGAUAAUACCGGAUAGAUCAGGGAUGCUGGAAUGCACCUUGAUCCAAAGNUCCGGCGCCCANGGAUGGGUCUGCGGCCUAUCAGGUAGUAGUGGGUGUAACGUACNUACUAGCCAACGACGGGUACGGGUUGUGAGAGCAAGAGCCCGGAGAUGGAUUCUGAGACACGAAUCCAGGCCCUACGGGGUGCAGCAGGCGCGAAACCUUUACAAUGUGCGAAAGCAUGAUAAGGGAACUCCGAGUGCCAGCAUCUAAUGUUGGCUGUCCUUGUGCCUAAAACGCACAAGAUAGCAAGGGCCGGGUAAGACCGGUGCCAGCCGCCGCGGUAACACCGGCGGCCCGAGUGGUAGCCGCUAUUAUUGGGUCUAAAGGGUCCGUAGCCGGUUCGAUAAGUCCUCUGGGAAAUCUGGUUGCUUAACAAUCAGACUGCCAAGGGAUACUGUCGAACUUGAGACCGGGAGAGGUAAGAGGUACUUCAGGGGUAGGAGUGAAAUCUUGUAAUCCCUGGGGGACCAUCUGUGGCGAAGGCGUCUUACCAGAACGGGUCUGACGGUGAGGGACGAAAGCUGGGGGCGCAAACCGGAUUAGAUACCCGGGUAGUCCCAGCCGUAAACGAUGCUCGCUAUGUGUCAGGUACGGUGUGACCGUAUCUGGUGCCGUAGGGAAGCCGUGAAGCGAGCCACCUGGGAAGUACGGCCGCAAGGCUGAAACUUAAAGGAAUUGGCGGG
rnacentral:rRNA from 1 species